GACGAACGCUGGCGGCGUGCUUAACACAUGCAAGUCGAACGGUGAAGCUCCAGCUUGCUGGAGUGGAUCAGUGGCGAACGGGUGAGUAACACGUGAGCAACCUGCCCCUGACUCUGGAAUAAGCGCUGGAAACGGCGUCUAAUACUGGAUACGAGAAGGGUCCGCAUGGGCACUUUCUGGAAAGUUUUUCGGUUGGGGAUGGGCUCGCGGCCUAUCAGCUUGUUGGUGAGGUAAUGGCUCACCAAGGCGACGACGGGUAGCCGGCCUGAGAGGGCGACCGGCCACCAGGGGACUGAGACACGGCCCAGACCCCAACGGGGGGGAGGAGGGGGGAAUAUUGCAACAUGGGGGAAAGCCGGGUGCAGGGACCCCGGGUGGGGGAUGACGGCCUUCGGGUUGUAAACCUCUUUCAGCAGGGAAGAAGCGAAAGGGAGGGUACCUGCAGAAGAAGCACCGGCUAACUACGU
rnacentral:rRNA from 1 species